rnacentral:misc_RNA from 1 species
AAGUCGUAACAAGGUUUCCGUAGGUGAACCUGCGGAAGGAUCAUUAACAAGUCACACUGCUGACAUUGCUUUUGUCAGCGGGGCUCUUCCGUGCCCCGUUGCCGGUCCUGGCCAGCGAUGACGCGUCCCCAACUUAAGUGCUGUUGCCGUCAAGUGCGGCAUUCCUGGCAUGGGGGACGAAGAGCUGGCUACAUCCGUUUCAACCAUACCUGUGAACCAAAAACAAAACCUUUGCUUCGGCAGCACGCAAACCGGCAGAGUACCUCUAAGGACGCUGUCGGUAGGGCGGUAAGGCUGCCAGAAGCCCACCAAUUCCAAACCAGUUGUUGCCAAAUUCUAUUACAAGUCUGAACUGAUAGACCAUUUCGUAUGGAAAAUCAUAUUAAAACUUUCAGCAACGGAUCUCUUGGUUCCC